UACAGAGGGCUCAAGCGUUGUUCGGAUUCAUUGGGCGUAAAGGGUGCGUAGGCGGCGCGGUAAGUCGGGUGUGAAAUCUUGGAGCUUAACUCCGAAACUGCAUUCGAUACUGCCGUGCUUGAGGACUGGAGAGGAGACUGGAAUUUACGGUGUAGCGGUGAAAUGCGUAGAUAUCGUAAGGAAGACCAGUGGCGAAGGCGGAUCUCUGGACAGCUCCUGACGCUGAGGCGCGAAGGCUAGGGGAGCAAACGGG
rnacentral:rRNA from 1 species